rnacentral:rRNA from 1 species
GGUGCAAGCGUUGUCCGGAUUUAUUGGGUUUAAAGGGUGCGUAGGUGGUCCUUUAAGUCAGUGGUGAAAGCCUGCAGCUUAACUGUAGAACUGCCAUUGAUACUGGAGGACUUGAGUAUAGAUAAGGUAGGCGGAAUUGAUGAUGUAGCGGUGAAAUGCAUAGAUAUCAUCAGGAACUCCGAUUGCGAAGGCAGCUUACUGGUCUAUAACUGACGCUGAGGCACGAAAGCGUG